CAGAAUUUCAGCAUUUGCUACUUACUGGUAGAGAAGAAAAAUUCCACAGCACUGCCAGUACAGGUUAGUUUAAUCUGUAAGUACCUGAUGUUCCUAUUUGAAAUUAUUUGUUCAAAUGAUACCACUUAAAUACAUGAGGGGAAUUUUUGUCUCUGAAAUGUGAAUGUGUCUUUUUUUCUACUACUGUUUUCAGUAGUGAGUAAACAUCUAGAUUUGUUUUCUACGUCUGUAAUGAUUUCAGCCCAGUUGUGGGUAGGUAACAGCUGCAAGCACUUCUCAGGAAAACUGAAUCCUGAACCUUAACAAACAGCCAUUGGUGUUGCUGAAAAGUGUGGGGGUCUAAAGUUGAAGCCACUUCUUCAGUAGCAGGCUUACUGUGAAAGAGGCUGUUUUACCAGUGAACCAGUUCUGAGAUACUCUGUUUGUGGUGUUGGGGAAGAAGCAUUUCUGUUGGUAAGAAUCCCUAGCAGUAAUGUAAUCUUUCUUUCAGUUGUCUUUCUCUGUUGCUGAUUACUGUCCCCUAACAACAGAUUUUUAUUUUUACUCCUGUAAACCAGGAGCUUAUUCUUUGCUGCCUUUUUUCUUGCUUUGUUUGCUCAUUUCAACACUUCAGAGGCUGCCUGCAAACGUGGUUGUGCCCAAGUGUUUGGUUACUCUGCCUCUAUUCCUUUUUUUUUCUGUCCUAUUCCAUAGUCCCAGAAAUGUUGGCAUUUUAUUUUUAUAGAGUGUAUCACCUUAGAAGAAAACAGGAGAGAUGCUUUGUCACUGGAUGAAAGAUGCAGCCUUCUCCAGAAUAGCUCCAUACAUUUUUUUUAAGGUUGUACCUUAUUUCCAUAUAGCAGCACAGGAGAUGAGAACGUCCUGUGCUGCAGCACACCGCGUAGUGUCACAGCUGGACGAGCUGUAAAACUCUGCUUCAUUCACUUCUCAAGGACACAUUGUCACACAGUGGAUUUGAGGGGCUGUUCAUUGGUGGGUAAUACUAGGUACUGGGAAGAUCAUACCAGUGUGGUAGCUGAAUGGACUCAGCUCAUCUGAGUGGUCUGGUGUUGUUUUGAGUGACCUGACACUUGCAGCAGUAUUGCUCUUUUGUAGAACUUUGAAACCUUACAUGACACUGCAGAAGUUCUGAUACUGACAUCACAAGUUUCAAGGGGAUUGUAUCUUCCCAGGUUUUAGAAUAGUUGCACUUGGAGCCUAUCUCCUGGCAUCAUCCCUACAUCACCUCUCAGUCAUUCACACCCAGUUGCCUUCUCUGCAAAGCUAGCCACAUGCAGAUUUAUUAAUGAUGUUUUGUAGAUAUUCUCCCUAGAAGAAAAAGCUGUAUAAUAAAACUUACCACUUAUCUUUGCCUGUAUUUCUUAAAUCUUAAUGGCAUAUGUGCAUGAAUAAUAGAGACACCUGGCUGUGAGGCCAGUAUCCUAUUAACAGAAUGUGUGCAUCUUUCUUGUGUGGUUGACCCUAGCUGACCCUAAAUGCAGUGCUCAUUAAGUUGGAAUGAGUAACUGAUUGGUUUUGGCUGCUGAAUUACUUUGUGAAGUCUCAAUUCUGACAUUGGUUGGAUCCUGACCUGCACUACUUGUACACCAGCUUGGCAAUCAGUGGGGAUAACUAACAGGUAGUGCUGUUCUCUGGUGUCUUACCAGCAAAAAGUCUACUGUCCAGGGUAGAGCCGAAUGUGAUCUCUGGUACAAUGUCAGCUCUUUGUGAAACGUUUAAUGGCAAUUAAUUGUGGUGCUUCUUGGUAGAAAUAAGCUUAUUUUCUUUUGAGGUGGAACCAAAACAAUACUAAGGAUUUGAGCUUUUGUAACCAGGUGAGCAGUCUUAAGCUGUAGCUCAGCUUCUGAUCCGCCGUUGCAGCAGCAGCUGUCCGGUCUAAUGGGGCUCAGAAGUCUUCCUUCCCAGUUCCGACACGGGGUAUCAACAGUGAGUCCUUUCACUAUUUCCUUUAGACUUCUGCUUUAUGACUUGAGUCACUCUUCUGGAUUCUGGUCACUGUGUAGCAAACCCGGAGUCCAAACUGGUUUUAGUAACCUCUUACAGUAUCUUAAAGCACAUGACUGAGUGAUGUCCCUCUCGAGAGUACGGCCACAGAAGUCAACGUGUCACGAAGGUGUUUUCUGUAACUUGGUACUGCUUUGGUGUAAGUAGUAUGGAAGGGUUGGGGGUCACUGGGGGUCACUGAUCUUUUCCAAAAGACAGGUGGCAAAAUAUUGAUGUUGAAUUUAAUCCAAGAAAGUGAAAGACUGGUAAGUAUGUGCAUCACUUUAAUGCAUGCAAGUAAUAGUAACAGUAACUAGCUUAAUUUUAUAGCAUUUAGUUUACAAAGAAGAGUCAAAGAAAAUGUGGAGCUAACUUCAUUUUACAUCCAUUGGGAACCUUCUGUGAACUGUAUGCUUGAAGAAUGGAUCAUUGCACAUAUCCAAGUCUGUAAUGUGUGUUUAUCACUUUGUAACAGUCUCUGAUUAAACAAAAGUGAAACACUGUUUCUGGUAUUUUUUUCUCUUGAGGACCCAUUUAAAUGGCUAUUGCAACAAAUGUUGGCAGUUCCAUGGUGUGUGUGAGAAUAAAAUCCACCCUCACUGGUGAUGUGGUUUGAAUAACUGUUUAGCUCUGUCUAAACUGCAGAAGCUUAAUCCUGGGAGCUUUGUCUUAUAAGUGUUUUCUACCUGGAGACAAGCAAAUGGAUCCUGAUGUCUUAACCUAUAACUUCCUUUGGUGCUGAUCUGCUGUCCUGCUGAACUGUCUAUGCAAAAUAUUACUAAAGAGUCGGGGAACAUGGAGGAAAUGUCUCAGCUGGUGAGGUAACUUUGAAAGUGUGUCCUGGCAGCUCCUGUCUACAGGGUGAGAGUGGAUCACUGCUGGGCCAGUUGGUCUCAUUUCACUACCACUGUACUCAUGAGUUUUGAAUUUUGGAAUGGACUGUUUUCCAGCCUGGCAUUGCCCUGGGGUCAGUGUGGCCUAAGUGCAGGACCUUGGUCUUGUUUGAGCAUCAUACAGUUGGCCUUGGCCCAUGGCUUCAGCCUGGCCAGGACCCUCUGAAGAGCCUUCCUGCCCUCAAGCAGAUACCCUGCCAGCUUGGUGUCAUCUGCAAACUGACUGAGAGGGCACUUCAUCCUCUCAUCAGAUCAUUGAUAAAGAUGCUAAAGAGAACAGAUACUGAUACUGAGCCCUGGGAACACCACUGGUGACAGGCUGACAACUGGAUUUAACUCCAUUCCCUGCCCAGUAAGAAGGAUGGGGCUGUACUUUCCUGCCCCACAGGUCCCCCAUCACUGUGGGACCUCCAGGUAGGAUUGUGGGGUGCAGGGGGGAGGUUGUUUGUAACAGCUGCUGAGGUAAAGAGUUUGGAUGUAAGCCUUUAGUUUCUAACAGGCAGAAAUGGAUCUCUUUGGAAAGACAUGGAGUCAGCAGAGGUGUGGGCUGUGGAGUGGAGGUCAGCUACUGACUGUCAAGUCGGGCAGGAAGGAAAGAAGCUUUGUCUUGGAGUCCUUUGGCCAAGUCUUCUGACUUAAAUUCAUCUUGGAAACAGUUUAUGUUUGGAAACAAAAGGUAUGCUUCUCCCACAGCAUUUGAGCAGGUAGUUUAAGCUGUGAAGCACUUGAUGAUUGCUUUUAGCAGCCAGGCUUUUCAGUAAGUUUGCAUAUCCUGCUCUGGGCUGGAGCCAUGCCGUGCCUCAUGCCAGAUGUGAGCAGGCUGGUAGUGCUUCCUGAAGGUUGCCUAUUUUAAAACUUCAGCUAUACAGCAGGUUUUCUGGAAAUCUUUGUGACAAUCCCAAACAACAUGAAACUCCAAAAUCAGGCAGCUUUAUUAGAAGCUUCAUAUGACAUGAUGCUUGCAGACACAGCCCUGACCACAAACUCAUUUGUAUUUCUUAAUUAGUCAAGCUAGGCAAUGUUUUCAAGCAUGGAUAUAUACAGUAGUCAAAUUUGAGUCAUACAGGGUGGACAGUGAUUGGAUAAUGCUGUAAAAAACUCUUCAGCAGGUUUGGGACUGGUUUGGACUGCAACCACAGCAUUUACAAAUCAUCUUUUACGUGUACGUUCACCUACACCUUUUGAUACCUAUUUAGGGAGACGAAAAAAUACACUUGCAGUGGACAAAUUCUGUUAGUGAUCAGGACCACCCAGAAAUUGAUCCUAAAUCCUAGUCUGUGAGCUGGUAAGAAGGGGAUCCCUGCUGUACCUUUUGAUUCCAGAGUUCAGUUCCCCAAAUAUUUGGGGCUGAGGAGAAAAACAGUGGGUCCUCUUGUCUCCCUGGUCCCAGUUCCCAAGCAAGAAAUGCAAUUAUUGCUGUCUUAAGUUUGAAGUCUCCAAAAGUGUCAAAGGCUUCUGUUCAAAGGUAUGUUUUACUAGUAGGUUUCAGAUUCCUUUAGGUAUUUGGCCAUUACUGUAUUAAUUAUUCUGAACCUCAAUAUUGAAAGCAACCAGACCAUUAAAUGAAAAGCCUAAAUAAAAGGUGACAUUUUCAUUUCCAGAGGGCACCGAGUCACGAUGGAGUGGCAAGAUGGGAAACUCCUUCACGUGCCCACGGAUAAACAAGUUUCUGUCCUUGGUCCAGCCAGAAACUCUCUUGAGAAUGUCAUGAAUCUUGUAAUUAUUCCAUACAGUUCCAUGCAGCCACUUCAUUCUCUUCUCGUGUAAGGACCCACUGAUUAAUUUAUCAAUCUUAGUUUUGUGCACAAUCUUGCCUAAAUCAUAACCCUUUCCCAGAAAAAAAUGGGUGUAGAUUCUUUUCUUCCUUGUAGGAACAUCCUUCACCUUGAUGUCGUAUAAACGUUUCAAGGUUUGAAGGGCUGAGUGUAGAAUGUCAUCUUUAUCUGUAUUGGGCUCUUUGUCUAGUGCCUCAUCUGGCCAGUACAGCAAGGUGAGCAAAAAAUGGGCACUUGCUGGAAAUGCUCUUCUUGGUUUAAGGAAUCUUGCGCUGAGGUCACGCAGAGUUUGCAGUGGAAGCAGUUUGGCCGAUCCUGGUUUCAAGCACUGUAAUGUGAUGUGGCACAAAAUGUAGUUGAUGAGGUCAUUGUCCUCCAGCCAGUCCCUAUGGGGGUUGUCUGUGUAGAAGGUAAGGAUCUUCUCUAGCUUUUCAGCUGCCCUGUUCUCGUUCUUAUCCGUUAAGAACGACAGGAUGUUGGUGAUGCUGCCCCCGCCGCUCCUGUAGAUAUUCAUGCGUCUGAUGAGCUGACUCUGAGGGCCACUGUUGCCAUCCUCAAGAACUGAUGCUGAGAUAAAGAAUUUGGCAUAUACCUCAGACUGUCUCUUCAGCCAUUUUCUGGGGUUAUAAAUUUGUUCUUCCUUUUCAUCUUUUUCAUCUUCUUCGUUCUCGUGGUUUUUGUCUGUUUGGAAAUAACUGAGGUCUUCUGAAAUCCACUCCAGAGCGUUGUACAGGUUCUGGCGUAGGCCUUUUAGGCGAGAGUGAAGCUUUCCCCAUGGUUUCUCAACAUCUUCAGGAAUGUAGUCUGUGAUUAGGUAUUUGACAAGCUCAGAAUGUUCCCCCUCGGGAUUCCUGCGAAAUACAGGGAUGGUGGACAGAUAUUUAAGGAGACGACACCCUACUUCCACUUCUCCAAAAUAGCCAGCGUUGUUCAUACUGUCACGCUCUGCUUUCGCAGCCUGUUGGGCACCCCUGAAGCAUUUCAUAGCUUUAAGAGCAAUCUCUAUCUUUGGAACCAUGCUUUCAAGAGCAUCAUCCUGUGUCGUUUUGUCCAAAAUGAAACUAAACCAUUUCCUGUAGACUUGACCUUCUGUGUCUAAAAUGUAAGAAUCGUGGGGCAGGUGAAACUUUGCAACCCCUGCCCAAUAUUCUGCUUCCGUGAAUUUUUCGUUGUUGUAGUGCAGCCUGGCAAGCUGCUGGGCAAAGAAAGCAUCUUUUCCAAGUUGUUCAUAUGCAGCUUUUAAAACAGCUAUAGCUUUGUCACAGUCUUCAGCCUCACAGACGUGUUCAAUGAACGGGGAGAAGAGUGUAUCAGUGUUGUCACCCCUGCUUCUUUUGUCGCGUCGAAUAAACAGGUCCCUGAUGAACUUUAUGAAUUCAUCUCUUCCAAACCUGUUGUCAAACAGCGUCUUUUCCUGAAGCAGUGCCAUUGCAAGUUGACUUUGAGGUUCAUUCCCUGCAAGCUGAUGCAGGAUUUCUUUCGCAACCAGACAGUGUAUUAUCUGAAUGGAUGAGAUGUAGGUGGUGCUUUCCCUUAGCUCGAUAAAAAUCAUUCUUGCUUGUUCACUCAAGUGACUUUUGAAAUCAUAUGCUCGUGUUUUCCUUUCUGUAUACGCCCCCAGUCCCAGAAAAGCCUCACAGUGUGACAACGAAACGUACGAGUUGGGUACGUAAAAAUUAAGCAAAGCCACGUAACGCAUCAAACAGGUGUCAGGAGAAGAGUGGUCUAUGUCUUGCAGGAUGUGCUCUACACAGUCUCUCACGUAUGUUUCGUUGAACUCUUCGCACAUGAGCACAAAGGUGAGUAUGAAUUGUGGAUUCACGUUUUUCUGCUUCAGUUUCUCGAGUUUCAUUUUGAACAGGGUUUUCUCUGAGUCUGUCAGCUUGUGGGUGACAGCCACUGUGUCCAGGGGAUAAGCCUUGCAAAGCCUUUCAGGGUCAUUGGAGCGUCUGCAGCACAACAGGAUGAAGUAAGGUCUGGGGCAAACGAUUUUCCUGGUUGUUACAGCAUCCAUUAACUCAUUCCUUAGUUCUUCUAAAUAGUCCUCAUCAUAAUCUUCAAUCAAGAGCAGCACAGGAAGACAAUUACCGACGUCUUUUUCUUCAUACUCUCUAAAUGCAAGUGCGUGCAUGCAGACAGUUGCAGGGGGAUGUGAGGAUUUGAUAACGGCACAUCUUAAGUCCUUUCUUCUCUUCCACAGAACUUGCCUGGCAAUUGUGCUUCCACCACUUCCAGGAUGGUGAAAUAUCUUUAGUUUAGCCACAGAACAGUUGAGUUUGCUUCCCCGUAAAAUGUCGUCUAGGAGUUUGUUAGCGUCCUUACACGCUUCCCGUUCGAUGAUUUCCCCACAGCAGCCCUUGUCAGCGAGCCAGAAGUUUUCCCAGAUGAUUUUUCUCCCCCGGUAAAACUUCUGUUCUAUCUCUUGUAUUUCUUUUUCAGUCAAAAGGUCGAUCUUGAUGUUGUCACAUUCGUCAACGCACAGGAUUUCUAGGGAAAAGAGUUUCUCCUCUUCCAGCAUGGGAAGUGUACAAAGGCCUCUGGUGAAAGUGGGCAGGUGUCUGGGCUGUGCUGUGGAAGGCAGCAGCUUUUGGAUGGUGGCAUCCACGUGACUUAGUUUCAUACCCACGAUGCUGCGUUGCUCCAGCGUCUCGAUGCUGCAGGAUGCCUGGGCCAGCCCAGCCCACUUCUCGUAGUUCUCUCUGGACUCGGCAAUGCAAAUGAUGUACUCGGCGCCGCUCAUCUCGGUGUAGAACUCCUGAAAGGUGUCCACGAGGGAUUUCUCAGCCGGUGACAGCAAUAGGAAGAGCACAAUGAAAGAGCCCUUGGGCAGGAUUUCAUCACAGAUACGAGUAAUCGCCUUCUUCAGGCUCAGACUUGGCUCCUAGCCUCUGAUAGAGAGUGAUCUCUUUUGUCAGGAUCGCCUUGCUGUCUUCUUUGUACUUUGGCAAAUACACUUCGAAUAGUUUGUUCUUUACUAAAGUGGAUGUGGGUUCAAUGUCAACCUCCACCACAAAUCUUUGCUCCUGAGAGUCUUUCGAAAUCACCUCGACAAACACAGGAGGGUGAAUGCAUUUCCUUGCAGUUUCUCGUACAUCUCUGCGAAAACACUUGUCUAUGUAAUCUAAGGCAUCAACGUAGUAGUCUGGUUGUGUGACCUUUAUGCCACGGAUCUGCCCGUGCUGCCAGCCGCUGUCCUCAACGCUGUCCAUGACGCCGAAGUGGAUGGUGCCGUUGGUGCGGAUGUUCAUGCAGGCCGAAGCGAAUCGGAUCACUUCACAGGCAAACUUGGACUGCAGCUGGUCUCUGUUCAGUUCUGCAGCAGUGGCAAAAGAUUUGUAUUCAUGGCAAGGAGUGAUUAAACCGUCGACCCCUGAUUCUGGAGCAAGAACUCUGUCUCUCACGUAUUUGAAAUCAGCAUUCUGACUUCUAAAGGGUCGACAGUUGCAGGGCUCGAUCGCUUCAUCAGCACUGGCCAGCUGGGAGUGUUUCCUUCUUUGCCUCUUGCCAGAAGCAGAAGCCCUGUUAUCUGUGCUGGCUUUAUCUGCUGGAGCACAGCUCUCUGUGCUUGAAGGCUUUUGCCUGGGAGUGCCCGUGGGCGUUGCUGGGUCUGUCCGUGCCGCAGUGCUGCUGGAGCUGGGGGCACGCGGAGCAGCUUCCUGGGGCCGCAGGAGCUCGUCUCUCUUGCGGAUUAACAUGUGGACUUGGGCUUCCUUCAUGCCUACUUUUUUGAAGAAAGACUCGUCCAGGUCCAUUAGUAGUGGACCUGUCACUUCUGCUGCAUGCAGUUUUUUUACAUACUCUUUCUUGAUUCCAAUAGUUCCCAGCCAGCACUGGACGUGGUCCUCGUCCCAGUCUUUCACAGGCAACUUUCUGUAAUCUGCAAGUUAAUUACAUAUUAGUAACACAAGCUAAAAACAUGUCCACGUGCUUGGCAAGGCAUUACAAUCUUUGCAAUACUGCCCCCCUUGAGUGCUAGAUUGUUUUCUACCAGUCCCAGUGAGAGACUGGGUCUGAACUGCUCACAUAUGUCGGUUCUGAUGAUGUCCUUAACUGUAACCAAAGGCACUGCAGAGCAGUGGUAUGAGACCAGUGCAUCCACGAAACGGGAAACUGUGAAGGAGGUUUGGAAGUGAUCCUCAAAGGGAUUCCUGGAAAUAACUCGAAGGGAGUGGUUACCAGCGUUACCAGAACUGACAGGCACUUAUCAACAGAGGUUUGGGGCAGUUGUUUACCCACUUGAGUCUGUUCUCUGCUAAAUGAAAACAGCAUCAGAUGAUGUAAGGAGUAUUGUUUAGUUGCCCACUAGAGAUUAACCCUUACAAUGCAGACACUGAACAGCAAAUUGCAACAUAUAAAGUCCAAAUUUUCUGAAAGCAGCACAUACCCAUUGCCUUUGAUGAGGGAAAUCCUGCUGGUAACGAGCAAAACCCUAGAAGGGGGAAAACAAAACUCUUCAGAUGGACAAUGUCACUGCAUUACAUAAAGCUGACCGACUUUGUUCUCUUUUCCCACCCUCCUCCCUACCUUUUUAGUCCAGGGUGGCUUCUGUGGCUUCUGGAAGCCCUGUCUUGACAGCUCUGUUCUGCCCAUAGGCCCUCACAGUGUGAGGGUAGCUGUUCCCACUCUGGCAUGUGUGUGUGUGUGAAGGAGAUGGAGCAGCGUGUGCUGCUGGCUGUGCCCAGCUAACAGCUGCUUCUGUUAAAUGGGGGAAAACAGAGGCUGUGUCCCCAGGGUUGCAUGGUAGCUCUUGCUUUUUAUUGAUGUGGGGGUUUUUUACUCACUUUCCCUUUCACUGCGUUUUGCUCCCUCACACUCUGUUCUUUCUCCCUUUUGUGUGUGUGUGAACACUUAUCUCCCUCCCACUUUCCCACAUCUCUUCUGGUGCCCCCUGGGUUUCCAUGAAGCAGUUCAAGCCACUGCUCAACCCAACAGAGGAUUUUGGUUUUAGUGGGGUGCCCUGGCCCCACUGACACACGACACCCUCUGGCUUGCUUAGCUCCAUGUACAGGUCUGCAGAGAUGGACUGCAGCAGGGAACACAUUAAUUAAUCCUGCUCAGUGUGACACCAGCGAAGUGUAACAGAUCCACAUAGCCCACGGUAACCAUCCCUGAGCUACAGCCUUGCCAGCAAAGGCAACCGUGGAGGCGUGUGGUGGUGGUGGUGUUUCUCUUACAGUUGUGUGAAAGCUCAGCUCUGUGCUGCUCCCUGCCCACAGCUCACGGUGGGGCGAGGGUGAUGCUCCCACUGUGUGCUCAGGCACAGCAGGAGCGGGCAGCAGCGCUGGCGGCACAGAGGCAGCUGCGGGCUCCACACGCUCCCCCCAACAUCUGCAAGUGCAGAGGGGAGCCCUGAGGGACAGCCACGAGCACUCGGGAGCCCCAAGGCACAGCCACAAGCACUCAGGAGCCCUGAGGGACAGCCACCAGCACUCGGGAGCCCUGAGAGACAGCCACAAGCACUCUGGAGCCCUGAGGGACAGCCGGGAGCACUCAGGAGCCCUGAGGGACAGCCGGGAGCACUCGUGCCCCAGGAGCAUGGCUUGGCAAGAGGUGAGUUUGGGGACGUCCCAGGUCUAGGGGAAGGGGGGAUGUUAGGAAAAAAGCCUGUGGAACAAGUGUGUGUUUGCUGUUUAGGCAGCUGGUCAGGGCUGUGGGGGAGCUGAGCUGGCCCUUAGCUGUGUGUUGAGCGAGUGGCUCUAAGGGGAGCGUGCUCCGGGGCCGUGCUGAUGUGCCAUCGUGCAGGUUCCGAACAGGCUCUCAUGAAAAUACCUGGAGGCGCUUCCCGCUGCCUUUUGGUGAAGCGUCGCCCGAGAGAUGGGCUCAACCCCUCCCACAAGCCCUGGCCGUGCGGGAGCUGUGGCCUCUCGCAGCGCCGUACCCGCCCUCUGGUGACAGACGGCAGCGAGGAGAAACGAAACUUCCCGGGAAACAGAAACCAGAGCGAAGGCGGCGGCAGAGCGGGGCAGGGCGGCCGGGGCCGCGGAGGCCUGUGCAGGAGGGACCCCGGGCCGCCGCUGCCCCGUUUGUAGGAGCGGUUGGGGGCUGCGUGUGUGCCCGUGCGGCGCGGGGACCUGGGCUGCAGGAGUGGGCACGGAUGUAGCCCUGGGUGCGGAGGUGGCUGUGCACAAAGCCUGGCUGUGCACAAAGCCCGCCUGUCCCAGCCCCGCCGCCAAUGAAGUGACCGAGAGCGCUCCCCCCGCCCCGGCCCGAGCAGGAGCGGCGCGGGACACUCACCCCGCAGGGACCCGGCUUCCGAGAGCUGCCAGCGGCCGAUGCCCCCCGCGCAGCGCUGCCCCGGGCUCGGCGGCACGGCGCGGAUCGGAGCGGCGCGGAUCGGAGCGGCACGGCGCGGAUCGGAGCGGCACGGCGCGGAUCGGAGCGCCACGGGUGCUCCUGCAGCCGCUGCUCUGCGUCUCGGAUGAUCCUCGGGCAGAUAUGAACAAAAAGCGAAAGCGCUUUGGCAGAUAUUCUGGAUGCCUCAGCAAGUCUCCACCCUCCUCCCGCAGUGUCCGGGGCUGAGGGAGCUGAGCUCUGCCGUGCUCUGUUGCUGCACUGCGCAGUCCCACCUCUGCCUCCUGCACUGGCAGGGAUGCCCUCACCAAACCAGGCCACUCCAGCCAUUUCAUCUGAUCUGCUCACCUGCUCGACACCGAGCCGGACACCAAGAUGCAGGCUCCGGGACUUGGAAGGCUCUGGGCUCACCCCCAUCCCUGAAACCAGUGAGAGCAGGUGAGUGAGAGCAAGCAGAAGUGAAUGUGUGAGUGACCUCCUGCAUCAGGUGUAUCUCUGAAGAGCAGGACUCUUGUUUUCAGUGGGCACGUGCCCUUUCCCCAGCGAGGCAGGUGACCCCAUCCCUGCCCCUGUCUCCAGCCCUGGCUCUGGACACGUGUGGCUGUUGCACCAGGUACACAGUGGUAUGGAAAGUACAAGUCUUUAUUUAGUAGACUUAUAAAAGGACUUUACAUGAGAAGUACAAAAAUAUGAAACAGGCUUUGAAUCUUCUUCAGUAAAACCACCAUUACUUCUUUUCAAGCUUUAGAAACGUGUAACUUGCACAGUUGGCAUCUUGUAAAUUGCUCUCAGACAUUGUAAAAACUAGGGAAAUAAAACUUCCCUAAAGUAGCUCCAGAAAAGUAGCUGUUUGUACCCAAUCACACAGUCCUGUCAAUAAUUUAUUGGUUUUAAGACACAACAGCACAGCUGUACAAACUCCCACUUGUACUUUCUCUUGUAAAGAACUCCAGUGAAAGAUGCAGUGUCACUCUCCUCUUCCAGGUGUUAGCAUAUGACUAAAUAGAAACACAAACCCAAUUAAGAAGGAUCUGGCAUGCUUCAUACUUGUACCCCUGGGAUUUGAUACCACUUUGUAGUAAAAGUUAAAUAAAUAUAAAUAUGUUAAAUAAAUACAGUGUGAAAGGCGGCGCCGCUCGCCCCUCCCCACGCAGCACGGCCCCUCCCAGCAGCCAGGGCUCAGCUCCUGCUGUACCCAGUGCCUGUCCCACUCCUGCUCCACUCCUGCUGCUCCCUCUGAGUUCCCUUCCCCAGGACUCGCUGCCAACAGCCCUUCUGUGCAAGGCCACGGACCCCAGCGGGAGAUGGACGAUGAGUCCUGGAGUGACUCCUGUAGCUCUGCCCCCGUGCUGUGGGUUGCCAAGGACUGCUCGAGCUCUGAGAAGACUGCCUGAUGUUUUCAGAGCAGGACGGUUGUGGAUUCUACCAACCAUCCACCAAGCUGGGACAGACUGAAUUCAAGAUGUCAAAACUAUCUACAGGAGUCCUUAGAACUGGAAAGACAGAAAAGGUCAACACAAACCUGAAAAAACUGGAGCUGCUUUUCUAAACUCCAGAAGAAGGGAUGUUUGAGCACACAGCUGGCGGACGGACGCUUCUGAGGGUCCAUAUUUAUCAUCUGCUCUAUUAAAUCACGAGCAACUACGUCUUCUGCAAGGAAAAGGGUGGUAAGCUGCAGGGAAACCUCAUGUUCUGUACUCUGCAAAAUCGUUGUGUUCUCUACUUCCUCUGACCCAACCUUGACCACUGGUCCCAUUGGCUCAGGUGCUGCCCUCGUCGCUACACUGGGCAAAGGACAGUCAGUGUUGACUCCGUGUGAUGACGAAGAUCAAAGUUCUGCUCUUUCCUACCUUUUAACUACAUGAAAUAACUCUACAGCCAGGCUUGCAGGGUUCCAAGUUGUGUGUCCAGAGGCUUUGGGGGUACUAGUUCUAAGACCCUGAGGAGCUUUCCCUCAGGAGGACGAUUUGCACAGCUGCCAGGUGGGUCACGGUUUUGUCAUUUCUGUCGGCGUUUGAACACACCCACGGAACGUUCCCUGAGCUUUGCUCUGUGCUUCCUGAGCUUUCCUUACCAUGCCUCCCUGCAUCCAAGGCCUCCAGGCUGUAUGCACCCAGCAGGAUGUUGGCUUGUCGCUGCAGGGAUUUGCCAAAGGGAUGGCUGCCCUCAGACACCACGUAAUAAAAGACACAUCCAGCUGAGAAGAUGUCCACGGUGCACGUCUGCAAAGAAAUCAACAGCCUUUAACAGCAAGAACACCUUUUUCCCCCCGGCAAAGACUUCGCUCAUCCCAGGGUGGGUAUUUUGCAUCCAAGAGCAGAAGAUAUGGUCACCCAGCUACAAGGCAGCACGAAUGCCCUGGCAGGCAGCAGUGCCUGUCUCAGCCUGACUGCGCAGCCCCCAGGGGAGCCCCGAGGCCAGGGCUGACUUACGGGGUUCUCUUUGCAGUCCUCGCUCAGCAUCUCGGGCGCGAUCCAGCCCUCGGUGCCCGGCACGCCCGAGCGCCGGCUGAAGCUGUGUCUGCCCACUGCCAGCUUCUUGCACAGCCCAAAGUCUGAAAUCAUGGCUUUCACCUUCCCGUGGGCGUUGGGCAUCGAGAUGAGGAUGUUGUGGGGCUUCAGGUCCCUGUGGACUGUCACAAACCCCGUUUAGCCACUCCAGGCACUCCCAGUGCCAUUUUUCAUGUGUAGGCAGUGGAAGCCUGUCGCAAGGCUGAGCUGUUUGUUAAACCCAAGUUCAAGCUCUCGUCUUUGGGAGAGGCUCAUCGCUUUUUUAUUCCACUAGCACUCGUCAAGAUCUCUUCUAUGAUGUGCAGCCACAACUGCAGCCCCCUGCACAAUGGUAAUGACUGGAGUGACUGCUGGAGUGCAGCAGCGACAAAGCCGGGAUCAGGGCCGCCACCACCGCGGCCAGCACUAGGUGGAGCUGCUGCAGCGUCUGGGAUGGAAUAAACAAGCUCCCAGCACCACACCACUCUUUUAGUUAAGGAAAUACCCCCCUCUCCAUGAGACAGAAAGCAGAGGCGUCCUUACCAAUGCUGAGGGAGUGCAGGUGAGCAAGACCAGACGUCGUCUGCUGCAGGAGCGCGAUGGGCUGGAGGCCGUGGUGACUGAAGGCCUUCUGCUCAACGUACUACCAGUUACAACAGAAACAGGGUUCAGCCACAACAUUGCUUAACCUCUGCAUAAACAGUAAGUCUAUCUCCUCCACCCCCCUAGAUGAGGUUAGGCUGGGUAAAUUGUGCUACCUGGUCACACAUUUUGUGUCACACAGAUGUUUGGGGGGUUUUUUGGAUGAAAAUGGUGUCUCUAAAAGGACAUUCAGAGCAAGAAUUCCAUAUAGCACUGCAGGUCUGCAAGGUCCAGAGGGAGGGGGAGGAUGACUACAAGGGAUUCCUUCACAAGAAGGAGAACCAAAGGAUGUCAGCUUCUGUCUUUAAAUCAGUGCAGGGUUAGGGAUCUCUGACAACACCCCGGGCACAGGAAUGUGCAACUGACACAGAGGUGAUGGCUGGAGGACCUACACUACCUCCUGCAGCAGGAACUUCAGCUAAAGGGAGAAAGCUUUCCCCGAUGCUGUGGGUUUGGAAGUUCCCCCUCACCUCCUGCAAGGUGGCAGCACAGAGCUCGAUGGCGAUGUACUGGAACUGCCGGUCCUUCUCCGUGCAGAAGUAGCGAAUCACGUUCGGGUGCUCGUCUGACUCCCGCAGCAACUGCACUUCACGGUCUGCAAAGCUGAAGCACUCGGGAAGAAUCCUCUUCACUGCCACAUCCCGGUUAUCAAAUGUCCCCCUGCAGACACGCAGGAAAAGCCACAGCAACCUCUUACACGCUGCAGACAAGGUGAGUGUGAGGGAGUGACAGGAGCUGUCACACAGAGGGGUAAUUAAAGCGUUUCUCAUGCUGGAAACGAGACACAGUUGGUCAUUACACAGUUCUGGGGAAAUUAAAGCAGUUCUGGGUAGUGAAGAAACACCACAUGGAAAUAUUCCAGAUACUUUUUCAAAGUCUGAUUUCUGUCCCUAUGAGACAGGUGGGUUAGAGCCGACCCAACACGGCCUCAGUGUGUUCCGAGUGCACACGCUGUGUUCUACCUGUACACGAUCGUCCCUUCAGCUCCAUGUCCCAGCACAUCCUUUGGGUUAAAAGAAAUCUUGCCAACCAUCACUCUGUGUGCAUCCUCAUCUGGACAGAAACAAGAAUGAGGACUGGUUUAGGGUCAAGUCAGCCUUUUAUAGCUGCAGAUCCUUCUGGGUCAGUAUGGGGAAGGCUCUUUGCUCCUGUUCAGAUGCUGACAACACCUCUCUUCUGGUACUUGGGCUGAGCAGAUGACACCCUCUGGUGACCAAAUGAUCUAAUAUGCAAAGUCAAACAUAGUUCUCCUUAGAGUAGCAGAAUAGUGGUUCCCAGUGGACAAACUCUUUCUAGAAAGUUUGUAGAUGUUCUGGUAAAUUUAGGAAAUGCUGAGUGACAGUUCUGGAGGAGAGUUUGCUGGCAGUUCCCCUGAAGAGCCCUCAAAGGGACAAAAGAAUGCAGAGGAAGCUCAGGCAGGAAGGCAGGCUGUGCUGCACAAUCCUCCUUUCUUGAUUCCAGUUCAUCAUCAUAAUGUAUAUUUUCAUUUAAAUAAACUGUUCCCUAGGAUGGCUCAGACCAAAUGGUCAGGAGAGGUACUGCCACAGGCACCAUCCCUCACACAACAGCUAUGAACUGGGUGUUUUUCCAAAGCAAAUAAUCCUGCUCAGAGUCAGGGCAUGGCACCCCUGCCCAGGGUUCUGCAGGUGGUCAGACUAAAACAGAACACUUGUCCUUGCCAGCGUUUUGAUCCACAGUGUCAUCAACAACUACUGCAAUUGUGCUCUAUCACCACACAGACUGGAGAAAUACAGAGACAAUAAAGGACACUGGAUCAACUUUACCUCCCUCUUCUGGCUCAGUGGAGAGGCAGCUCCCAACAUCAGAGGCGGAGAUGCUGGAAUAUGCAGAGUGGUUUGAUGCUCGGGGGGACACGGUUGGUGUGCUGGUGGCUGAGCUCUCUGUCCGGCCAUAGGACGUGUCCAGGAAAUCUGCUUCUGGGGGCAGGUCCCCAGGAGCACGAAAGGGCAGCUUCUCUUGCUGCAGGAGCUGCAUCUUCUCUUCCAGCUGCUGCUGUUGCUGCUGAUGCACACUCUGUGAGAAAGAACCUCAGUUCUGUGAGUGGAGCUUUUAGAGUCACGUCACAAAAGGGACACUAUUGCUACUGGGGCAGCUACAGCCAAAAGGUGGGAGGAAAAUGCUCUUGUGAUGACACCAUCAGCCAGGGAACUUUCCCUCAUACACCCUCAGUUUCUUUCUGAACUCUCACUGCAAAGCUGAGAAAUCACAUUCGUGUUGACUAUGGCCAAAGCUCACUGUCACUAGGAGAAUUUCACCUACAGAGAGGAAAAGGCUUUGAGCUAAAAGCUGGAAAACCCGAGAGUGGCUCAGGUAAGGAAAAGUGAAUCCAAUGAUGUUCAGCUCAUGUCUGUGAAAAGAGUAACACAGACAUAAACCAGAACUGGUGGGAUGAAGAAAACAAAUCUCCAAAGCUGUCACAUAUGCCCAGACAAUUAUGUUGAUUUGUAGCCUUUGCUACCCCCUGCACGUGUGUAAGGAGUGAAACCCCCCGCACUGUGCUACUUCUAACUCCUCUAUCUGUAAGGUGUUACAAAACCACAACUCUCCCAGAAGCACUCCAAGCUAAGUCAGCAUUACCAUUGGGUAAGUGAUGAUAAAAGCCACCCAGCCCACAAGCAGGAAAGUGCUGAGGAUGAUGGUGGCCAUGUCUUUCAGCAUGGAGUCCAUGGCAGCCUCUGGCCGAGGGCUGGGCCGAGCAGGUUUCUCCUCAAUAUCCUUUGGAAGAGCAGGAGGCCCUUCUGUUGAGGAGCCUUCAACAAUGUCAAUAACCUAAGAGGAAAGAAAGCUCUGUUAGCUCAGCAUCUGCACAGGUAAUGGAGCAUUUCUCUGCUAGCCUUUCUGCUAAACCCAUUUUAGUAAUUUCUAACCCCACCAAAGUCAAAGAGAGAUUUGCAUGUGGGGAAAAGAGGCACCUGGAAACCCUAAUUCUCAAAUAAGCAACUGCUGAGUACAUGAAAAUCUGACACCAAAAAUGGGAAGGAGUUCCCAUGUAGCUUUCCUUCUGAGUCCUUCCCCAACUUCUGCUCCUUUAUAUUCUUCAGUCAUCCAGUGAGAUCACUAUUGUCACCACAAACCUCUUCAAUAGUGGCUUUGUCAGAGUCAGCUGGAAUCACAUUUUCAGGCCUCUUAGGUAAGUUGCUUGGGAACUUCUCCAGGAUCUUUGUAGGGGCAGAUAAGGGGGUUUCAUGGUGCCCUUUAAAAUAAAACACAUUUGUUGAAAUAAAAAGUUAUCCUUUCUUUUUC